AGCACAGCGCAGCGUGGGGGGAGGGGGACGGAGCUCCGGAGGGGCAGGAGGAACACCACCCGCCACCCGUCCCGGCUUGUAGAGGACUCAGGAGGACGCGUUGAUGGAGGCUUGGGAAGAACAAAUCCCGCGGCAGAAAGUGGCGGGGUCCAGCCUGGGCUCCAGCCUCCGCCCCUGAAGCCGUGCUUUUGUCCCUGGACCAUACUACCUCUCACAGAAGCAGAUACAGUCUCUGUUAGGAUCAGCCUGAAUUUCUACCUCCUCCAGGCAGCCUGCUCUGACUACCCCAUUGCUUUUCUGAGUCAGUAUGGAAUCAAAGGAGACAGGACGACAUCUCCAUCAAGAUAAAGGCACCAACAUCACCUUGACUGCUGUCGUGAGUGCCGUCAAUCCUGGAGGCAUCCCCAUAGCUGCCGUCACCACCACCAUCACCAUGGUUACCACCACCAUGGCCUCUACCAUCACCAUGGUUACUGUCACUACCGGGUCCAUCACCAUGGUUACCACCAUCCCACCCCUGGGCUGGAUACUCUCCAUCUGGCCCUUUAGAUCCACUCUCCUCUGAUCCUGUGUCUUGGGAGGCUGACCUUUAUAGAAUGCAUCAAAGAGCUGCUUCCCUCUCCUUCUGGUGGGGUCUGCCAAAGGGGAGGGAGGGGGAGAAUGAGGAAGAGGAGGAGAGGGAGGAACACUCUAGGAGAAGUCGGAACUGAAAGGAAUCACCGGUGAGUGGAUGGAAAGGAGGAGAGGGUUCAGAUUUCACUUGGAAGCUUGAGAUGCUAGUUGGUUCACACACAGUUGUAAGAAACAGAGACCCUGAAACCCUUCACUCAGCUUCCCCACUGAAACAUCUUACAGGAGCCCAACCAAGGAGUGACGUGGUAGCCAUUCCCCUGGGCCUUCAUCCUCCCUGCCACACCGGGGGGGGGGCUUGGGGGGAAGGAGGCCGGCGGGGCUCACGUGGGAAUGCUCUGCUGCCCCAGAGGCCGGGUGUUCAGGGGUAGAGGGUGGCUGCAGCCCGUCCCGCAGGCCAGCUCUCGGGACCGGGAGUCCCCGGGACGUGCGCGCUGGCCACUCUGUCCCCGGGAGCAGGGCCAGGGCUGCCUCGCCCCUUCCACUCCUCGCCGCAGCGCCCACGGCGUCUGCGGGUUUUCUCUCUGUUGUUUCCCUGAGGAGCCGCUUAUGAGUCUGAGCACCCGGCGAUCGCAGCGCUUUGGCUUGUCUCAUCCCGGCCCGCAC